AUCCUCAAGGCAGUUAAGCAUUCACCACAAUCCUCUCAUGCUGAGUCAGGGUCUUGUUAAACUGGCUGUGGACUCAUUCUGAAAUCCAGGCAAACCUUUUGAAUUUGUAAUUCUCCUGAGUAGCUGUGAUUACAGGCCUGUCCCACUACAGCUGCUGCCUCUCAGCCUCGCUGCCUCCUCCCAGUCUCUCUGCAGCCUGUCCUGCCUGCCUUCAGACCCAGUUCCAGCUCUUAUCCUGGGCCUUAUCUCCCACGUUCUUGCUGCUCUGCCAGCUGCCAGCCAGGCACUUUGUUCUCAAUCUCUCUUUCUCUGUCCACAGGCCUCUACAGAUGGCUGUACCCACAGGGCACUGUGGCUCUGGUUGUGGCCUACCUCUGGCCUUCCUUGUCACACUGUGAGCUCUGAGUGAGGGACCAGAAGACCCACGUCUGUGCCUCAUGCCCGUAUGGAGGCCAGAAGAAAUGAUCCCCUAGAAAUGGAGUUUUGGAUAGCUUUGAGCUACCUGUGGGUGCUGGGACUUGAACUGAAGUCCUCUUGAAGAACAGCCGGUGCUCUUCACUGCUGAGCCAUCUCUCCGUCCCUUCCAAGGCGUCAUCUAACAUGCCCUAACAUUUUCUCGUGCCCGUGAGGAAGCAGGCAUUAGGACAUACGGUGCCCUUCCUGUUCAGAGGUUAGCUGAGAGUAUCACAAAGGCCUAUGGGAAUGAAAGCCCCCUGUGAUGUCUGUAGAUGUCAGCUGUCAGGACUGCAGCCCCGUGCCCAAUCUACAGUCCUCUCCUCCUUGCUCUUCUGGGAGCUAUCUG